AUACGGAGGGUGCAAGCGUUGUUCGGAAUUAUUGGGCGUAAAGAGCAUGUAGGCGGUUCGUUAAGUCUGACGUGAAAGCCCGGGGCUCAACCCCGGAAGUGCAUUGGAUACUGGCGAACUUGAGUACGGGAGAGGAAAGUGGAAUUUCGAGUGUAGGGGUGAAAUCCGUAGAUAUUCGAAGGAACACCAGUGGCGAAGGCGGCUUUCUGGACCGAUACUGACGCUGAGAUGCGAAAGCGUGGGGAGCAAACAGGAUUAGAAACCCGGGUAGUCC
rnacentral:rRNA from 1 species